AAAGGAAGAAGAGCGAGAGACAAGGGAAGGCAGUUGAGACUUGGAGAGAGAGAGCCAUGGAGAUGGAGAGCGCGGCGACCUGCGAUCGAUCCCGAUGGUGCCGCGCGGCGGGGCGCUCUUCUGGCCGGCGGCGGUGCAGGAGCAGCCGAGGGCGCUCUCCCUCUGCCCCGUCGUCAGCCGGGUCGCAUCCGACGCGCUCCACCACCUCCGGCAGGCCCUCGCGGUGCCGUCGAGGGACUCGCACUCUUCUUCGACGACCUCCUCUCGUAUGCCCACGCGCGGGAUGCUUGGAUGAAAGCCAUCUAGCGCGCCCCUCUGCCCAGUCCGGGUCACAUACUUCAAGAUGUGCUCAUGGUUUGCUGAUGUGCUCCCCUACCUCGCCCGCCUCCCAAGCUGCUCGAGGACCACUACGCCGGCGCCCGGGCCGCGCUUGGGCUCCGCCUCCUGGGCUCUCAGGGCGCGGGCGUCGUGCUCUUCUGCCUGUUCCCCACCGCCAGCUGCGGCGAGGCCUGCCUCCCGGCCAUCAAUUUCUACGCCUUGCUUGCGGCACUGAAUAAUUAACAAUGCGAGGUGCCGGUUUUGUUCCGAGCGCGGCUCUCUACCCUGACACUGAUGCUUGGAUGAAAGCCCAUUCCGGGUACGCAUACUUCAAGUUGUGCUCAUUGUUCGCUGACAUGCUCCCCUGCCUCGCCCGCCUCCUCCUCCGCCUCCCCACAAUACUCGAGGACCACUACGCCAGUGCCUGGGCCGCGCUCGGGCUCUGCCUCCUGGGCUCCCAGGGUGCGGGCAUCGUGCUCAUCGGCCAGUUGCUUGCCCCCGUGCUCUUCUGCGUGUUCCCCACUGCCGGACAUGGGUUUUAUCAGCAGGGCACUGACCAACAAUGUGAGGUGCCGGUUUUGUGUCGUCUGACAGUGAUGCUUGGAUGAAAGCUAACGCGCCCCUCUCUGCCCAUUCUGGAUUUAGAUAUGGAUUAGAGCAUCUCCAACGGCUGCACAACAAUUUCGCGCCCAAUAAAGGUUACAGCACGCCACUGUAGCACUUUUAAUGCGUCGGGACCAACAUUGCUUUACUAGACGCCCAAAAACGCGCGCCCAAAAAGCACGCAGUGCAACUUGUGAAGCACGCGCAAUCUGGAGCCCAAAAUAUGCUGCGCGCGAUAGCUUUUUUCAGCACGCGCGCAAAAACUUUUAGCGCUACAGCUUGUGCUGGAGCUGUUCGGCGCCCAAAAAAACGAACUUUUAGUGCGCGGAGCUCUUUUUGGGCGCCUCUUGGAGAUGCUCUUAGAGCACUAGUUAGGAAUUUACACAUAGUUAUAUCAGCUGUAUGUGCCAUCAUAAAUUUGAUACAUGUACUUCAAGCUGUGAUCUUGGAUAGCCAGUUCGAGCUUUUAUGUAACAUGCUAUUUUUGGGUUAGGGAAACCAUUCUUAGAUUCUUUUGAAAGGGCCUGAUUGGAGAAAUGUUCUUCCUACAUGUCUGAAAAUACGUAUGAGUUAUCAACUUAUCAUGCUCCACAGAAUAUAAUACAUAUUUGCCUUAAUUUUGAAGCAAUUGAGAACUAUUCGAAUAGCGGUAACCAUCUAAUGUAAGCAUAACACACUACUAGGAAAAGGCUAAUUAGUGGCGCACCUAUUUUGGCCAUUAAUGGCGCACUAUAGGUGCGCCACUAUUAACACGCCACUAGUAAUUGUUAGUAAUGGCGCACCUUUGAUGCGCCAUUGGUAAUCCAAAUACCAAUGGCGCACCACAUGGUGCGCCACUACUAACCCUUAGGUGCUCCACUAGUAUUCCCUCC